rnacentral:rRNA from 1 species
AACGCGAAGAACCUUACCAAAUCUUGACAUCCCGAUGACAGGCUGUGUAAAGCAGCUUCUCUUCGGAGCAUCGGUGACAGGUGGUGCAUGGUUGUCGUCAGCUUGUGUCGUGAGAUGUUGGGUUAAGUCCCGCAACGAGCGCAACCCUUGUCUUUAGUAGCCAGCAUUUAGGAUGGGCACUCUAGAGAGACUGCCAGGGAUAACCUGGAGGAAGGUGUGGAUGACGUCAAAUCAUCAUGCCCCUUAUGAUUUGGGCUACACACGCGCUACAAUGGCGUAAACAAAGAGAAGCAAAGGAGUGAUCCGGAGCAAAUCUCAAAAAUAACGUCUCAGUUCGGAUUGUAGUCUGCAACUCGACUACAUGAAGCUGGAAUCGCUAGUAAUCGCGAAUCAGAAUGUCGCGGUGAAUACGUUCCCGGGUCUUGUACACACGC